AGAGUUUGAUCCUGGCUCAGGAUGAAUGCUGGCGGCGUGUUUAAGGCAUGCAAGUCGAGUGCAAUUCGGUUGCACGGCAAACGGGAGAGUAACACAUUGGUAAUCUACCCAGAAGACAGGGAUAAUCUCGCGAAAGCGGGGAUAAUACCUGAUAGUCUAUGCGAAUUAUGUUCGCAUAGUAAAGCUCGGCGCUUCUGGAGGAGCCUAUGUUCCAUCAGCUUGUUGGUGAGGUAAAAGCUCACCAAGGCUACGACGGAUACCGGGUGUGAGAGCAUGGCCCGGCUCACUGGAACUGAGACACUGUCCAGACUCCUACGGGAGGCUGCAGUCAAGAAUCUUCCUCAAUGGGCGAAAGCCUGAAGGAGCGACGCCGCGUGUAUGAUGACGCUCUUCGGAGUGUAAAGUACUUUUACCAGGGAAGAACUAUGACGGUACCUGGAGAAUAGGGGCUGCUAACUUCGUGCCAGCAGCAGCGGUAAUACGAAGGCCCCAAGCAUUAUCCGGAUUUAUUGGGUGUAAAGCGUGCGUAGGUGGUUUGGUGUAUCUUUUGUUAAAGUCCGGGGCUCAACCCUGGGAGUGCGAGAGACAUAGCCAGACUAGAGACUGGAAGAGGCAAGUGGAAUUACUGGUGUAGGGGUUAAAUCCGUUAAUAUCAGUAGGAACGCCAAAUGUGAAGACAGCUUGCUAGGACAGUUCUGACACAAGGCACGAAAGCGUGGGGAGCGAAUGGGAUUAGAUACCCCAGUAGUCCACGCCGUAAACGAUGGAUGCUGAGCAUUGGAAGUAUCGACCCUUUCAGUGCUGUCUACUUAAGCUAACGCCUUAAGCAUCCCACCUGGGGAUUACGACCGCAAGGUUAAAACUCAAAGGAAUAGACGGGGACCCGCACAAGCGGUGGAGCAUGUGGUUUAAUUCGACGGUAAGCGAGGAACCUCACCAAGGUUUGAAAUAUAGCUGCAAGCCUGGAAACAGGCUCGCCUUCGAGGGUGCUAUACAGGUGCUGCAUGGUUGUCGUCAGCUCGUGUCGUGAGAUGUACCGUUAAGUCGGAAAACGAGCGCAACCCUUAUCCUAUGUUUCAAGUGUCAUAGGAAACUGCCUGCUUUAAGCAGGAGGAAGGUGGGGAUGACGUCAAAUCAGCAUGGUCCUUACACCUUGGGCCACACACGGUGCUACAAUGGGAAGUACAACGGGACGCCAAGCAGUAAUGCGGAGCAAAUCCUCAAAACUUCCCCCAGUUCGGAUUGAGGUCUGCAAUUCGACCUCAUGAAGUCGGAAUCGCUAGUAAACGCGUAUCAGCCACGGCGCGUUGAAUACGUUCUCGGGUCUUGUACUCACCGCCCGUCACACCAAGAGAGUUGGGGGCGCCCGAAUACUGAUUUUGUCGUAGAAGGUGAAACCAGCGAUAAGGGUGAAGUCGUAACAAGGUAACC
rnacentral:rRNA from 1 species